CCUACGGGUCGCACCAGUGGGGAAUAUUGGACAAUGGGCGAAAGCCUGAUCCAGCCAUGCCGCGUGUGUGAAGAAGGCCUUUUGGUUGUAAAGCACUUUAAGCGAGGAGGAGGCUACUUGGAUUAAUACUCUAGGAUAGUGGACGUUACUCGCAGAAUAAGCACCGGCUAACUCUGAGCCAGCAGCCGCGGUAGUACAGAGGGUGCGAGCGUUAAUCGGAUUUACUGGGCGUAAAGCGUGCGUAGGCGGCUUUUUAAGUCGGAUGUGAAAUCCCUGAGCUUAACUUAGGAAUUGCAUUCGAUACUGGGAAGCUAGAGUAUGGGAGAGGAUGGUAGAAUUCCAGGUGUAGCGGUGAAAUGCGUAGAGAUCUGGAGGAAUACCGAUGGCGAAGGCAGCCAACUGGCCUAAUACUGACGCUGAGGUACGAAAGCAUGGGGAGCAAACAGGAUUAGAUGCCCUGGUAGUC
rnacentral:rRNA from 1 species